GACGAACGCUGGCGGCGUGCUUAACACAUGCAAGUCGAACGGAAAGGCCCUGCUUUUGUGGGGUGCUCGAGUGGCGAACGGGUGAGUAACACGUGAGUAACCUGCCCUUGACUUUGGGAUAACUUCAGGAAACUGGGGCUAAUACCGGCUAGGAGCUCCUGCUGCAUGGUGGGGGUUGGAAAGUUUCGGCGGUUGGGGAUGGACUCGCGGCUUAUCAGCUUGUUGGUUGGGUAGUGUCUUACCAAGGCUGUGACGGGUAGCCGGCCUGAGAGGGUGACCGGCCACAUUGGGACUGAGAUACGGCCCAGACUCCUACGGGAGGCAGCAGUGGGGAAUAUUGCACAAUGGGCGGAAGCCUGAUGCAGCAAAGCCGCGUGCGGGAUGACGGCCUUCGGGUUGUAAACCGCUUUCGCCUGUGACGAAGCGUGAGUGACGGUAAUGGGUGAAGAAGCACCGGCUAACUACGUG
rnacentral:rRNA from 1 species